rnacentral:rRNA from 1 species
UACGGAGGGUGCAAGCGUUAUCCGGAUUCACUGGGUUUAAAGGGUGCGUAGGUGGGUCUGUAAGUCCGUGGUGAAAUCUCCGAGCUUAACUUGGAAACUGCCAUGGAUACUUUAGGUCUUGAAUACUGUGGAGGUCAGCGGAAUAUGUCAUGUAGCGGUGAAAUGCUUAGAUAUGACAUAGAACACCAAUUGCGAAGGCAGCUGGCUACACAAAUAUUGACACUGAACGGCGAAAGCUAGGGGAGCAAACGGG